CUAUUGCCCUUGAUUACUCGGACCUACAAAAAAUCUAUUUUUAAAUAGGUCUCGAAGUGUCAUUCUAAUUUCUAAGUAAAGGGAAUUGCUAAUUAUUGAUACACUUUGCCCGGAUUAAUAAUCUCUUUGAAUGAAUCUAUAAACUUUAUAAAAUAAUUAAUAAAGCCCAAGCAUUUUUUUUUUAGAAUCAGCCCAAUGGUUAUUAAGAAAUUCUGGUCAAAUACAGAUAAGGCCCAAAACAAACAUAAACUGAGCCCGUCAGAUGAUUAAAAAAAUCGGCCCAGUCUAGGAUUUAUAGCAAGCCCAAACACAAGGAGUCCAAUUAUGAAAGUCAAACUUUUCUUUUAAGGAAAACCUAAACAUCUUUCACUUCUCUUCUUCAAAAUCGGUUCCCUCCCCCUUCUCUCCAAUCUCACCGCCCCUUUCUUCCUCCCUAAAUUCCGCCUCCGUCGCCGCUACCCGGCGGAACCACCGCCGGAGUCCGCCUCCGCCAUCACCCUCUCUCUCUUGCCGCCUCGCGUUUCCUGCAGCAGACGGCUAUGAAGGACCACCGCUGCUGCUGCUCUGUUCUCGCCAUGACCAGCGGCGCCUGGCCUUCGGCCGCGCCGCCCCGUACGGCAGCUCCUCGCACUGCCUCUCCAUGGGGCCGCAUCAUUCCGCCUCUGUCCGCGUUGCCUUGCUCAGCCGCCUCGGCUCCUGCCAGCUACCAGCCGCCCCAACAGGAGCCGCCGUCUUCUCCAGCGGCAUUUCGUCCACCCCGGCUCCGCUCUGCCUUGCCUCGACUCCAUCUGUCUUGGCCGUGAGCGGCCGGCGACUGCUGCCACAUAUGCAGCACCGACAGCCGCGGCCUCGUCAGCCCGGGGUCGAAGCUCCGACAGUGCGUUGCCCUCUUAUUGCCACUCAUCCCCAAAACCAAAGGUAAUCAAAAAAAUUCACAGAUUAAAAAAAAAUAAAAUGGAUUCUUGGUAUUAAGACUUAUGCAUGUGUGUGUUCUUGUAGUAUGUUCAUUUCUUUUGAUUUUGAAGGGUCAGAAAUAUGACAAAGUUUUAGUCCAUGCUUAUUCAAGUCCUCAAGUCUUUGUUGCUGGUUGGGUAUACGAAUGAUAAAUAGAAUAAAAGAAAGUGGUGAGAAGGAGUUUGGAGUCUAGACCUUAAAUACAGACGACGAGGUUGGAGAUGUGGUUCGUGAGUUUGUUUGUAAAUUCUUCAAUGUUUCUGCAAGUUUGUUUGUAAAUUCUUCAAUGUUUCUGCAGGAGUUUAAAAGAAGUGUAAGAAGUUGCUUGAAGAAUAAAAGAUCGAGCUGCAGAAAAGAAGUGUAAGAAGUUGCUUGAAGAAUAAAAGAUCGAGCUGCAGAAAGGAAAGGAAAGAAGAAUUCUUUACCGCUCCAAUGAUUCAGUCUGAGCUAUUGGGUGGGGAACAAGAGUAAAAGGCUUUUAUAUGAGGUUGAAAAAUUGACGUGGUGAAUUGUAAACGCUGAACUUGUGUGUAAUUGAGCAUAUAUACGAGGCUAUAUAAUACCCAUGAUUUUUGGAAUAAACAAAGCAAAAUAUCUUGUAUAGUGACCUUGGAGAAAAAUGAUUCGUCC
rnacentral:lncRNA from 1 species